rnacentral:rRNA from 1 species
UAGCCUUGACAUUGAUUGAACACACUAGAGAUAGAGUGGUGCCCUUCGGGGAACAUGAAAAC